UUUAUUUCAGGCGAUGGAGUUCGCCCAACUGCUACGCUUGUAGCUGAUAACUCCUAUUGAAGC
rnacentral:ncRNA from 2 species